rnacentral:lncRNA from 1 species
GGUUAGUGUUUUUAUGCCAACAUUGGGGGUUCUGCCUGCUUAUAGGAGGUGGCCUCUUCAGAUUCCACAUCCCCACUGCUAUGCAUCUUAGCUAAGGUCACCUGCAUUGAUUCCUGGAAGCCUCACCCAUCUCAGGUUUCUGUCAUGUUCUAGAAAUGCCUCCCAACUCCCCACCCCUGCCAGCUUCAGAUUUCCAUUCAUUCUCCUGGCCCCUAGGCCUCUUCUGUCUCUUUCCACACCUGAUCCUGAUUCAACCCCUUUAUUCCCCUCCUCACCCAUCUCCUGUCCAUGUCCCUCCCUCCCUCCCUCCCUUCCUCCCUCUGCCUCCCAUGACUAUUUUAUUUCCCCUUCUAAGUGGGAUUUCAGCAUCCUUACUUGGGCCUUCCUUCAUUUAACUUCUUUGGGUCUGUGGAGUGUAUCAUGGGUAUUCUGUAAUUCAUGGCUAAUAUCCACUUAUCAGUGAGUAUAUAUAGUGUGUAUGUCAUCUUGGAUCUGGGUUACCUCACUCAGGAUGAUAUUUUUUAGUUCCAUCCAUUUGCCUGCAAAAUUCAUGAUGUCCUUGUUUUUAAUACCUGAAUAGCAUCUUUCUCUGAAACUGAACAGGUGGCAUUUUAAUCAUUGAAUUAUUGAUUGUGUAUUUAUUUAUUUAUUUAUUUAUUUAUUUAUUUUGGGGAGGGGGUUCGAGACAGGGUUUCUCUGUGUAGCCCUGGCUGUCCUGGAACUCACUCUGUAGACCAGGCUGGUCUUGAACUCAGAAAUCCAUCUGCCUCUGCCUCCCAAGUGCUGGGAUUAAAGGUGUGCGCCACCACUGCCCAGCAUUGAUUGUGUCUUACUUGCUUUUUUUUUUUUUUGAACAGUGUGGAGGGGGUUAGUUUCCAAGAUAGAGUCUCUCUGUAUAGCCUUGGCAGUCCUAAAAAUCGUUUUCUAGAUUAGAUUGGCCUUGAAUUCAGAGAUCCUCCUGCCUUUUGUGGGAUUAAAGGCAUGUGCUACCACACCCAGCUUUUCUUCUUUUUUUUUUUUCAACAGGCUUCACAAUAGCAAGUAUUAGGUGGGCUUCUAAAUGAAUUUUCUCCCUCUUCUUUCCCAUAUAAAUGAUGUUAUAACAUAUUGCUUGGGAGAUUUCAGUUAUUGCCAAUAUUCAGGAAUAAUAAGAAAGUAGCACCAAGCCUUCCUGCCUCAGUAAGUUUUUUUUUUUUUUCUUUCAAAGCAGUGCAUAUAUAAUAGAAUGUUUUAAAACACGGGAUUGCUUAACUUCAUGAGUUCUUUUAGUCUAAUGAAUUCUGACAUUUCUGGUGCUCUCCUUUGAAAUGAACUGCAGAUGGGGCUUUUUGCAAAGGGCCUGAAGGUGUUUCUUGAAUUCUGAGCUUUUGUGUGCGCUUCUCUCUCUUCCUCAUUUCUGGACUCUGGUUUGACCUGUUUCUGUGGUUUAAACCAACUUCACUCAUGUGACUUGAGGCUGAAUUUGAUCUCUCUGUGCUUAACUGAAAUUCAACCAGAUAUUUCAGACCACAUC